UGGCGAUAGAUCAUUCAAGUUUCUGACCUAUCAGCUUUCGACGGUAGUGUAUUGGACUACCGUGGCAGUGACGGGUAACGGGGRAUUAGGGUUCGAUUCCGGAGAGGGAGCCUGAGAAACGGCUACCACAUCUAAGGAAGGCAGCAGGCGCGCAAAUUACCCAAUCCUGACUCAGGGAGGUAGUGACAAGAAAUAACAACACUGGAAAUUUUAUUUCUAGUGAUUGGAAUGAUGGGAAUCYAAACCCCUUUCAGAGUAACAAUUGGAGGGCAAGUCUGGUGCCAGCAGCCGCGGUAAUUCCAGCUCCAAUAGCGUAUAUUAAAGUUGUUGCAGUUAAAAAGCUCGUAGUUGGAUAUCUGCUGGAAGCAAUCAGUCCGCCCUAUUUUAGGGUGUGCACUUGAUGAAUUCUGGCAUCUACGAUCCCUAAUAUGGUCNCGAUUUUCAGUAAUCGUGACUUCUUAUUAGGGAUAAUACAGUUACUUUGAGAAAAUUAGAGUGUUUGAAGCAGGCUUGUUGCCUUGAAUACUGCAGCAUGGAAUAACAAUAUAGGAUUUCGGUUCUAUUUUGUUGGUUUCUAGGACUGAAUUAAUGAUUAAUAGGGACAGUUGGGGGCAUUCGUAUUUAACUGUCAGAGGUGAAAUUCUUAGAUUUGUUAAAGACGAACUACUGCGAAAGCAUUUGCCAAGGAUGUUUUCAUUAAUCAAGAACGAAAGUUAGGGGCUCGAAGACGAUCAGAUACCGUCGUAGUCUUAACCAUAAACUAUGCCGACUAGAGAUAGGAAAAUGUCACUGUUUCGACUUCUCC
rnacentral:rRNA from 1 species